rnacentral:rRNA from 1 species
AACACGUGGGCAACCUGCCUGUAAGACUGGGAUAACUCCGGGAAACCGGAGCUAAUACCGGAUAACAUUUUCUCUUGCAUAAGAGAAAAUUGAAAGAUGGUUUCGGCUAUCACUUACAGAUGGGCCCGCGGUGCAUUAGCUAGUUGGUGAGGUAACGGCUCACCAAGGCAACGAUGCAUAGCCGACCUGAGAGGGUGAUCGGCCACACUGGGACUGAGACACGGCCCAGACUCCUACGGGAGGCAGCAGUAGGGAAUCUUCCGCAAUGGACGAAAGUCUGACGGAGCAACGCCGCGUGAGUGAUGAAGGCUUUCGGGUCGUAAAACUCUGUUGUUAGGGAAGAACAAGUACAAGAGUAACUGCUUGUACCUUGACGGUACCUAACCAGAAAGCCACGGCUAACUACGUGCCAGCAGCCGCGGUAAUACGUAGGUGGCAAGCGUUAUCCGGAAUUAUUGGGCGUAAAGCGCGCGCAGGCGGUUUCUUAAGUCUGAUGUGAAAGCCCACGGCUCAACCGUGGAGGGUCAUUGGAAACUGGGGAACUUGAGUGCAGAAGAGAAAAGCGGAAUUCCACGUGUAGCGGUGAAAUGCGUAGAGAUGUGGAGGAACACCAGUGGCGAAGGCGGCUUUUUGGUCUGUAACUGACGCUGAGGCGCGAAAGCGUGCGGAGCAAACAGGAUUAGAUACCCUGGUAGUCCACGCCGUAAACUAUGACUGCUAAGUGUUAAAGGGCCUGCGUCCCUUUAGGGCUGCAGCUAACGCAUUAAGGACUCCCGCCUGAAGAGUACGGACGGCGGAAGUGGAGACUCCUAAGAACUGAACGUGUCGCCCGGUACAACGGGGGGCAGGU